GGAGGAUCAUUAAAUAAUCAAUAAUUUUGGCUUGUCCAUCAUUAUCUAUUUACUGUGAAUCGUAUUAUUACUUGACGCCUGAGGGAUGUUCCAUUGCUAUAAGGAUAGGCAUUGGAAAUGUUAACCGAGUCAUAAUCAAGCUUAGGCUUGGUAUCCUAUUAUUAUUUACCAAAAGAAUUCAGAAUUAAUAUUGUAACAUAGACGUAAAAAAUCUAUAAAACAACUUUUAACAACGGAUCUCUUGGUUCUCGCAUCGAUGAAGAACGUAGCAAAGUGCGAUAACUAGUGUGAAUUGCAUAUUCAGUGAAUCAUCGAGUCUUUGAACGCAACUUGCGCUCAUUGGUAUUCCAAUGAGCACGCCUGUUUCAGUAUCAAAACAAACCCUCUAUCCAACUUUUGUUGAAUAGGAUGACUGAGAGUCUCUUGAUCUUUCGAUCUCGAACCUCUUGAAAUGUACAAAGGCCUGAUCUUGUUUGAAUGCCUGAACUUUUUUUUAAUAUAAAGAGAAGCUCUUGCGAUAAACUGUGCUGGGGCCUCCCAAAUAACACUCUUUUAAAUUUGAUCUGAAAUCAGGUGGGAUUACCCGCUGAACUUAAGCA
rnacentral:rRNA from 1 species